AGUGAACGCUGGCGGUAGGCCUAACACAUGCAAGUCGAACGGCAGCACAGUAAGAGCUUGCUCUUACGGGUGGCGAGUGGCGGACGGGUGAGGAAUACAUCGGAAUCUACUUUUUCGUGGGGGAUAACGUAGGGAAACUUACGCUAAUACCGCAUACGACCUACGGGUGAAAGCAGGGGAUCUUUGGACCUUGCGCGAUUGAAUGAGCCGAUGUCGGAUUAGCUAGUUGGCGGGGUAAAGGCCCACCAAGGCGACGAUCCGUAGCUGGUCUGAGAGGAUGAUCAGCCACCCGGGAAAUAGGAACCGGCCCAAACCCCUAGGGGAGGCAGCAGGGGGGAAUUUUGGACAAGGGGGGAAAGCCUGACCCCGCAAUCCCGGGGGGGUGAAGAAGGCCUUCGGGUUUUAAAGCCCUUUUUUUGGGAAAAAAAAGCAGCAGGUUAAUACCCCGCUGUUCUGACGGUACCCAAAGAAUAAGCACCGGCUAACUUCGU
rnacentral:rRNA from 1 species